rnacentral:sRNA from 1 species
ACCGGGCGUGGUGGUGCACGCCUGUAAUCCCAGCAGCUCCAGAGGCUGAGGCAGGAGGAUCAUGAGUUGAAAGCCAGCCUCAG